AUGUCCUGACGACGUCCAACAAGGAGAGGAGCCGAGAAAACCGGGGCAGAUCCCCUCAGAGCCGUAAAGGCAAGCAACAAAGGUCGCACUUCUCACAUUCCACACAGAGCUCUAGACCUACAAGACCUCACAAGGUGUCAUCUUCUGUGAAGCAAGCCUCAAAGGGAUCAUCAGAGGCAAACCACCAUGCUGAGAAAUCGAGUGGCAGUGCAGCUGCGACGGGCCGGCAGACGGCGCCUCGGUCAACUUCUGAAAAGGGAGCAGCUUCAUCUUCUUCAACGCAGCAGGGGUCCACUACGAUGUCACGCCCUUCACGCAAGUUUGAAGAGCACCCGCCAUCGUCUCGGGGUUCCACAGAAGCUGCAGCUGAAGAGGUGGCCUCUGCAGUUCUUCGCUCCAGGCUUCCGCUGGCACAGCUGCUUGAUCCAACAGAACCACUUCCACCAGCGUAGAGCCAGAUGAGAUAUCAUCUGGCCUGAACACUGCCAGUUCCUUGCCCCUGUCACAGGUGAAGUGGAGCAGUGUGGGUUCUUCAAGCACAUCUGGUGUGACGCCAGUGCCACCAUCCACCAGCAGCCGAUGGCAGAGUGCUCCCUCCACCUCAAAGUCCACCGAACCGAAGCAGUCAGACCGGUCAUCACAAUCUCAACAGUCAUCGUCAGCUUCAAAACCAUCUACAUCCACUAAAGACCCAGAGAAAGCGGGACUCGCAGACAAGAGCCUACUGGUAGCCAAGUCCUCCUCAGCAACCACUAAGCCGAACGCACAAGCCAGGCGAAAGAAGCCGCUAGUAAAGCCGAGCAACCAUUGAACAAGCCAGCAGCCACAGCGACAAAGGCGGCAGUGGCAUCAACGAGCAAUUCCCGGUCUGCCACCAAGACAACACGAGAAGUAUCGCGGCGAGGGAAAGACGAAUCGCUAUCGUCGCGUUCUCGAUCGCGAAGCCGCAAGCGAGGUCGGAACAGAUCGUCGUCACAGCGCCGACGCCGGCGGUCGUCAUCUUCGUCGUCAACAUCGUCUUCGUCAUCUGACGACGGUGGCAGCAGUGGCAGACGGCGAACCAAGGGGGGCCGAAGUAGGCGGCGCAGCAAGAGUGCCUCGUCCUCGGACGGUUCACGUGGUGGGGGAAGUUCACGCAGAGGCCGGAGGCGCCGCAGGCGAUCGUCCAGCUCCAGUUCGAGGUCGUCGAGCUCAAGUUCGAGCUCCAGCAGCGAUGGCCGUGGCAGUAGCCGCAGAGGACACCGAAAGAGGUCACCGGGUCGUCGCAAGAGCAGGCGCCGUAGGUCAAGCUCUAGUGGGUCAAGCAGCAGUGACUAAAGCUGACAUCACAGUC